AGCACAGAGAAGCUUGCUUCUUGGGUGACGAGUGGCGGCCGGGUGAGUAAUGUCUGGGAAACUGCCCGAUGGAGGGGGAUAACUACUGGAAACGGUAGCUAAUACCGCAUAACGUCUUCGGACCAAAGUGGGGGACCUUCGGGCCUCACGCCAUCGGAUGUGCCCAGAUGGGAUUAGCUAGUAGGUGGGGUAACGGCUCACCUAGGCGACGAUCCCUAGCUGGUCUGAGAGGAUGACCAGCCACACUGGAACUGAGACACGGUCCAGACUCCUACGGGAGGCAGCAGUGGGGAAUAUUGCACAAUGGGCGCAAGCCUGAUGCAGCCAUGCCGCGUGUAUGAAGAAGGCCUUCGGGUUGUAAAGUACUUUCAGCGGGGAGGAAGGCGAUGCGGUUAAUAACCGCGUCGAUUGACGUUACCCGCAGAAGAAGCACCGGCUAACUCCGUGCCAGCAGCCGCGGUAAUACGGAGGGUGCAAGCGUUAAUCGGAAUUACU
rnacentral:rRNA from 1 species